UUUUAUAAUUAUAUUUAUAAAUUUAUAUAAUAUAUUUUAAAUAAUUAAAAUUAAAAUAUUUUAUAUAAUUAUUAAAUUUAUAAUAAAAUUAUUAAUAAAAAAUCUAUUUUAUGUGAAUUAUUAAUUAAAAUAUAUAAAGUUAAACGGGUUUAAGCAUCAUUAUGGCAAUAAUAAUUGAGUUUGGGAUGAGUUUAUGUAGUUUAGGAUAAAUUUUAAUCGGGUUUGAGACAAGUUCGGGUAUUAAAAAUACUAACCAAGUUUGGAUAUAUGGUGAAUUUUGCGGGCGCCCUACUCGUUGCAUUUCUAACUAUAAAUAAUUAUGUCUUCUAGGUAUUUUAUUAGGAGAAUUUAUUAUGAUAUUAUUG
rnacentral:misc_RNA from 1 species